AUUGAACGCUGGCGGCAUGCUUUACACAUGCAAGUCGAACGGUAACAGGCCUUCGGGUGCUGACGAGUGGCGAACGGGUGAGUAAUGCAUCGGAACGUACCCAGAGUUGGGGGAUAACGCAGCGAAAGCUGUGCUAAUACCUCAUGUGAUCUGAGGAUGAAAUCGUGGGACCGAGCAGCAAUGUUUGGCCUCGCGCCUUUGGAGCGGCCGAUGUCGGAUUAGCUAGUUGGUGGGGUAAAGGCCUACCAAGGCGACGAUCCGUAGCUGGUCUGAGCGGACGACCAGCCACACUGGGACUGAGACACGGCCCAGACUCCUACGGGAGGCAGCAGUGGGGAAUGGUGGACAAUGGGCGCAAUCCUGAUCCAGCAAUGCCGCGUGCGGGAAGAAGGCCUUCGGGUUGUAAACCGCUUUUGGCAGGAACGAAACGGUGUCCGCUAAUACCGGGCGCUAAUGACGGUACCUGCAGAAUAAGCACCGGCUAACUACGUG
rnacentral:rRNA from 1 species